AGUCAGUCAGAUUCUUAUUGAGGGUCUCAGCACAGUAGUGGAGGAGGGGUAUUGGAGAUUGAUCUUUUCUGCCUUCAGGGGGCUUCUUAUCUGAACUACUGAUAGACUAGAUUAAACAAUUUGAGCUGAUAUGUAGAGUUGAAUGUGCCCUGAGGCCAAAACUUCCAGAGUCAGCAGCAAUAUGGAGGAAUGGCAGCGGAUGGCUGCAACCAGGCUGUGCUCUCUGCCUCUCUCCUUCAGCUGCCUCCCUGCCAGCUAUGGUCAGUUCCCUGAGCCUUGAGUAGCUAUGACACCUGUUCCUUCAAUGGUGGUGGAUAGCUUUCUUUAUUAUGAAUCUCUUGGAACUGACCUAGAACAUAUUACCCUCUGUAUCAGACCUCCAGAGGCCAUGACUCCUUCAACUCCUGAGAAAGUUUAUCCACUCAACUUUGGAGCUCUUUCCUGGACCUAUUUGUUUUGAUUGAUGAAUAAAUGAAUAAAAACUCACCUACUUUGUUACA
rnacentral:lncRNA from 1 species